rnacentral:misc_RNA from 1 species
AUUAAGAACUACAAAAGUUCAGAUGCAUGCUUAUAUUCAAAUUCCUGAUUGAAAUUUUAAAAGCAACUUCAUAAUAAUCAAAUGGAAAAGAAACAACCGCAAUUAUCAUAUUUGAUAUUAUCAACAUUCUCUGCCCUACAAUAUUACGAUAGUUAUUUUUUUCUUAAACAACUUUACAUCAACCAUAAUGUUUGUAAACCAUUUCAUAAAAUAUUUUCCUUCUUUUUACAGCCACCAAUUCAAAUUCAUCAGGGUCAGGAGCAGUUUCAGACAACGACUCAUCUGACUGGGAAAUCCCUGUGAUUGUUGUUUGUUGCGUGGGAGUACCUUUAAUCGUUGCAUCAGUGGUUGCCAUUGUUAUUCUUAAAACAAAAAAAGUCGGAAUUGCUGAAUAUCUUUUUAAGAAAUGAAGAAAAUUCAACAUUGUCUAAUUUAAUGAGCUCAUGGCUAUCAAGUGAAGUUUCUAAGUUUUCUUCACUCCAUGAUGAAACGUGUGACAGAGGCUGAGAACAAAUUUCCUGUGAUAGAUUAGACUAUAAUUAUUAUGAUUUUCAUUAUUAUUAUAAUCAUUAUUAUUGUUACUAUUAUUAUUGUAUGAAUUGCACCACAUGGUUAGUGCAAAUUGUUCUAUUCUUUGGUUAAAACUAGAGAAUUAUUAACACUGGAAUAUAUCUUCUUUUUUUGGUCUUCUAAUUAUGCCAAGUGUUUCCACACUAACACUGUAAAACAUAAACAUACUUGCAUGUAUUAUUGUUUAAUUUAGUGUAUCAGUAUUAAUCAAAUAUCAUUAACUGUUUGGUAUCACCAGUGCUACAUUAAUAUGAUGUUAUAGAUUCUUCUUCUGAAUACUCCUACAUGUUCUUCUUUUUUAAAAAGAAAAAAGUGAACAUUUUGCAUUUUUAUUUUACAUUACCUGUAGCUAAAUGUCUUUGUAAAUAAAUUGAAUGUUCAGUU